GACGAACGCUGGCGGCGUGCUUAACACAUGCAAGUCGAACGGAAAGGCCCUGCUUUUGUGGGGUGCUCGAGUGGCGAACGGGUGAGUAACACGUGAGUAACCUGCCCUUGACUUUGGGAUAACUUCAGGAAACUGGGGCUAAUACCGGAUAGGAGCUCCUGCUGCAUGGUGGGGGUUGGAAAGUUUCGGCGGUUGGGGAUGGACUCGCGGCUUAUCAGCUUGUUGGUGGGGUAGUGGCUUACCAAGGCUUUGACGGGUAGCCGGCCUGAGAGGGUGACCGGCCACAUUGGGACUGAGAUACGGCCCAGACUCCUACGGGAGGCAGCAGUGGGGAAUAUUGCACAAUGGGCGGAAGCCUGAUGCAGCAACGCCGCGUGCGGGAUGACGGCCUUCGGGUUGUAAACCGCUUUCGCCUGUGACGAAGCGUGAGUGACGGUAAUGGGUAAAGAAGCACCGGCUAACUACGUGCCAGCAGCCGCGGUGAUACGUAGGGUGCGAGCGUUGUCCGGAUUUAUUGGGCGUAAAGGGCUCGUAGGUGGUUGAUCGCGUCGGAAGUGUAAUCUUGGGGCUUAACCCUGAGCGUGCUUUCGAUACGGGUUGACUUGAGGAAGGUAGGGGAGAAUGGAAUUCCUGGUGGAGCGGUGGAAUGCGCAGAUAUCAGGAGGAACACCAGUGGCGAAGGCGGUUCUCUGGGCCUUUCCUGACGCUGAGGAGCGAAAGCGUGGGGAGCGAACAGGCUUAGAUACCCUGGUAGUCUACGCUGUAAACGGUGGGUACUAGGUGUGGGGUCCGUUCCACGGGUUCCGUGCCGUAGCUAACGCUUUAAGUACCCCGCCUGGGGAGUACGGCCGCAAGGCUAAAACUCAAAGGAAUUGACGGGGCCCCGCACAAGCGGCGGAGCAUGCGGAUUAAUUCGAUGCAACGCGUAGAACCUUACCUGGGUUUGACAUGGAUCGGGAGUGCUCAGAGAUGGGUGUGCCUCUUUUGGGGUCGGUUCACAGGUGGUGCAUGGCUGUCGUCAGCUCGUGUCGUGAGAUGUUGGGUUAAGUCCCGCAACGAGCGCAACCCUUGUUCACUGUUGCCAGCACGUUAUGGUGGGGACUCAGUGGAGACCGCCGGGGUCAACUCGGAGGAAGGUGGGGAUGACGUCAAGUCAUCAUGCCCCUUAUGUCCAGGGCUUCACGCAUGCUACAAUGGCUGGUACAGAGAGUGGCGAGCCUGUGAGGGUGAGCGAAUCUCGGAAAGCCGGUCUCAGUUCGGAUUGGGGUCUGCAACUCGACCUCAUGAAGUCGGAGUCGCUAGUAAUCGCAGAUCAGCAACGCUGCGGUGAAUACGUUCCCGGG
rnacentral:rRNA from 1 species